rnacentral:tRNA from 1 species
GCCCGCUUAGCUCAGUGGUAGAGCGCGACACUAGUAACUACACAGCCCAGUUGUCUAGUAUAUGUCGAGGCCGCCAGUUCAAUUCUGGUAGCGGGCA